rnacentral:rRNA from 1 species
UACGGGGGGGGGUAAGCGUUGUUCGGAAUUACUGGGCGUAAAGGGCUCGUAGGCGGCCAACUAAGUCAGACGUGAAAUCCCUCAGCUUAACUGGGGAACUGCGUCUGAUACUGGAUGGCUUGAAUCCGGGAGAGGGAUGUGGAAUUCCAGGUGUAGCGGUGAAAUGCGUAGAUAUCUGGAGGAACACCGGUGGCGAAGGCGGGUCUCUGGGCCGAUACUGACGCUGAGGAGCGAAAGCGUGGGGAGCGAACAGG